UACGGAGGGGGCUAGCGUUGUUCGGAAUUACUGGGCGUAAAGCGCACGUAGGCGGCUUUGUAAGUUAGAGGUGAAAGCCCGGAGCUCGACUCCGGAAUUGCCUUUAAGACUGCAUCGCUCGAAUCAUGGAGAGGUAAGUGGAAUUCCGAGUGUAGAGGUGAAAUUCGUAGAUAUUCGGAAGAACACCAGUGGCGAAGGCGACUCACUGGACAUGUAUUGACGCUGAGGUGCGAAAGCGUGGGGAGCAAACAGG
rnacentral:rRNA from 1 species